CAGGAUGAACGCUAGCGGCAGGCUUAACACAUGCAAGUCGAGGGGCAUCGGGAGUAGCAAUACUGCCGGCGACCGGCGCAAGGGUGCGUAACGCGUGAGCAACAUGCCCGUAUCAGGGGGGAUAAUCCAUGGAAACGUGGUCUAAUACCCCAUAGUAAUUAUGUAAGGCAUCUUAUAUAAUUUAAAGCUUUGGUGGAUACGGAUUGGCUCGCGUGACAUUAGCUGGAUGGUAAGGUAACGGCUUACCAUGGCUACGAUGUCUAGGGGUUCUGAGAGGAAGGUCCCCCACACUGGAACUGAGACACGGUCCAGACUCCUACGGGAGGCAGCAGUGAGGAAUAUUGGACAAUGGAUGGAAAUCUGAUCCAGCCAUGCCGCGUGCAAGGAAGACGGCCCUAUGGGUUGUAAACUGCUUUUGUAUGGGAGCAAUAAGGGCUACGUGUAGUCCGAUGAGAGUACCAUACGAAUAAGCACCGGCUAACUCCGUGCCAGCCGCGGC
rnacentral:rRNA from 1 species